rnacentral:rRNA from 1 species
UACGUAGGGGCCUAGCGUUGUCCGGAUUUAUUGGGCGUAAAGCGCGUGUAGGCGGCACGGCAAGUCGGAUGUGAAAGCCCGCGGCUCAACCGUGGAAGUGCACUCGAAACUGCCGAGCUAGAGUCUCGGAGAGGAAGGUGGAAUGCUUGGUGUAGAGGUGAAAUUCGUAGAUAUCAGGCAGAACACCUGUGGCGAAGGCGGCCUUCUGGACGAUGACUGACGCUGAGACGCGAAAGCGUGGGGAGCAAACAGG